ensembl:lncRNA
GUGAUGUCUAGGAUAGUGCAUUUUUAAUUGUUGUGCUUGGAGGAAACAGGACAAAUUCUCUGAACCUCAUCUGACAACUAUAAUACAUUUAAACAUCAGAGGUCGACUAUAAUCUCUUCUGUACAUAUGAACAAUACUGACUAUAAAAUAACACUUGUUCAUCCUAUAUGUUCAAUAUAGAAGACAAACGAAAAGAUAAUGCGCGCCAUUUCCGAUUUCAUAGUAGGGUUUCACAAAGUCAAAGUUGAAGCCAGACACUGAGCACGCAUGAGAGUAAUUGAAAAUACUAAUUAUGGCUUAACGGACAAAAACGAAAUAUCCUGUGUUCGCAAUGGUGGUGCUUAUUGCCACAUUCAGUUCGUGAAAAAAUAUGAACCAAAAUUUAAUAUUACAAACGAUAUAUACAGUUCUCAUUUUCCCUUCAAAAUUCCUCUAAUGUACAAGCGCAAUAUCACACAUACACACACACACACACACACACACACACACACACAUUCUAAUCUAUACAACAUUUAAGUUCCCAGUUCUUAUUUACACAUAUUUGGUAAAACCCUGAUUUCGACAGUUUUUAAAACUCACCUUUCACUUAUACGAUUGAUUGAAAAUACUAAAGAGCAAAAAGACUACCAGCUCGCUCUUUGAUCCAAAACAUUUGACCUAAAAGGCUAAUUUUAAAGUGUUCAAGGAGUGUUCUUUCUCCUGUUAGUUCAUCGUACUUGUUUUUCCUCAAAGUUCUUUACUUAAACAGUUGAAUAUAUUAAAACUAUGGUCCCAAAGUACACAAUGUAAUAUAGUGUAACAAGUAUGGACAACAUGUACAAAUACUAAAAUGCUGCCAGUAACGAAACUUCACAACAUAGAGGUUGAUAACAGACUGAGGGCAAAGGGAGGGCAGUGGGAGGUGUUUAUCCAUGGUUACUGUAGUUUUCAUUACAGUUAGGGUCCAGGAACCAGAUGUUGUUUUGUGAGAAGUUGUUGCUGUUGUUAUGGGAUGGGGGCUGCCUUGCUCUGCUGCUCGUGGAGGCUCUGCUAGGGUUGCUGCUGUGACUCUGAAGGGAAAUGCUACUGGUGGCGUUCACCUGUUGAGCCCCUCUGCUGCUGGGGACGGGCAGAUGCGAUCUGGGUCUCGUCACUCGCUGAGGAGAAGCAUGACUACCGUCGAUCUUUACACAGACACAGCAAUAUACAAAAAACAAAAGUAUUUUUAACAAAAAAAAAAAGAGAGAAUGCACAUUAUACAUGUGCUUUGUUACAAAAAAAAUGCAAGCGAUCUUCAGAGGCCACAAUUAAAGUGCCCCUAUUAUGGAUUUUUGAAAAUUCACUGUGUAACACAGCUUUAUGUGAAUGAAAACAUCCUGCAAAGUUUUAAAUCUGAAAGUGCACUGUGUAUAAAGUUAUUGGCUCUCAAAAGAAAGGGUCGACUCUGAAUCAUUGAAACGAGUCGUUUUUAAAAUGAAUCCCAAGCCGUUUCAUGUUGACAUCAACAUGAAACAUUAGCAUAUUGCCCGCCCACUUGUUGGUCUAUUCGCCUUGGUCUGAAUGAAAAUGCAAAUUCAUUCUUUGCCACUAGGUGUCGCUUUUGAAGUGGUAAAAUAGAUGUUUCCCCGGUAACGCUGUACACAAAGCAGCACUGCGCUCACAAAUGAAUCGUUGAGUGAAUCGUUUGGGAGUCAUUGAGCAAGUAAGGUAAAAAAUAAAUGCAUAUUUAUAAGUCAAUGAAACUGUUUUUUGACCUUGCAUGCAUGUCAGCCUGUUGUUGUGGACUCCCAAAACCAAAAUAUGAACCUUUCAUAACCCAUAAUAGGGGCACUUUAAGGUAAAUCCAAAAUGGUGGAUGAGGUGAGAAAAAUGAUUAUGAAUAACCACAUUUCAUUCAAUAUUGUGGAUAUAAAAUGUGUAAUAAAAGAAAAGAAAAAGAUUUUACCUAAUAUUUGAGUGCAUUACAUAUUUUUGUUAAUUAUAACAUCAUGCUGUUUACUUUCGGAACCUGACUGUGGUGCUCUAUUUGUGCACUUUACGUAGAGCAUUUCAUGCAUUCCAUGACAGUUAGGAUGUUGCCUUAGAGGGCAGCUACCUAUGUAGUUGGCUCAGUAGGCUUUGGAACAGAGCCACGGUGUUUUAUCAAAGGCUUGCCUUCUGUGGUGGAGGAUAGGUCACAUCCACAGCACUCUCUGUUGUAACAGGAUUUGUUUGGGGCUGCGUGACCUUGCCAUCACUCCUCUGAGGACUGGGUGGAAUCGAGUCUGGAAGCAUGAUGAAGUCCUCUUUAAAAAGAGCAAUCUGCGGAGCCAAUGGUGGAAAGAGGGAAACAUCCUCCCUGGAACUCGGGUAAGAACCUGAAGAUAUAGGGUCCCAACAAGGCCUCUGAGGUCCCCAGACGCGACAGGCAGGCGUUGAGCUGGUGCCACACUGAGCACACCCAUGAAAGCGAUUUGUGUACAGGAUCAUCAGAUGUCCAGCACUGGCCCCGAGCCUGUGAAGCCAUAGAAAAACUUGAUUAAAGGGACAGUUCACUAAAAACUGAUUCAUUUACUCUCAUUCCAAACCCAUUUUUUCUUUCAUUUGUCACACUAGGAGCAAUUUUGAACAAUGUACUGUUCAAAAAGAUGCAAAGCACCAAAA